CGCGCGCGGCCCCGCCCGGCAACGAACUACAGGUCCCGGCGGCCCUCGCGUCGGAGGGCGGGCCCGCUAACCGCCCGGAGCCGCUGGAGGCCGCGCACACGCUUCCGCACUCGGAGUCUGGCGGCCAGAGCCCCUGCUUCGCCCGGCCGCUCAGGGCCCAGCACUCGGACAGGUGGCCCGCGCUGUGGCCCACAGGGCCGCCCCAGCCCCCGCAAUCCUCCUGUGUACAGGGAGCCGGGAGGAAGGAGCGGGCUCCGGCUCUGUUCUCUUAUAUAAAAAAGCACCAGUGUCCUGGACUGGACACCCACUGCUGCAGGACAUGCAGGGGGGCCCAGGGCCUGAUCGUCACCGACUGAUAUCCCGACUGGAGUCCCACAACUUGGUGUUGGGCGGCUCAGCCCGAAGGCGGGCGAAGAAAGGGUGCUGCAGGGCCUCCCCCAAGGUCAACCGCUUAGCAGGUUCAUACUCUAGCAUGCUUUCAAUCAGAUCGAAGAGCUGGUGGUGGUCCUCGGCCUCUGAGGGCCCUAACUUUCCAGCUCGGAGGAGCAGGCCUCUGCCCUCAGAGGACGAUUUUGAGCACCCCCGGCCCCGAAGCACACAGUGCCCAGCACGCACUACUCAGUCACCCGCUUCACGCUCAGAAAGCUCUGCGUGCGUGCCCUUGUCAACUUCAUGAACCUUCUGUAGCUCCUCACUAAAACGUAAGCUCUUCUCCAGUU